CGGACAGAGGCCCGCCGGAUUGGGUAUUUAGCUGUUAACUAACUUUUUGCGGGAUCGAGGCCCGCCUGUCUAG
rnacentral:tRNA from 1 species